rnacentral:tRNA from 1 species
GGGUGAUUAGCUCAGCUGGGAGAGCACCUCCCUUAGGAGGGGGUCGGCGGUUCGAUCCCGUCAUCACCCACCA